rnacentral:tmRNA from 1 species
GAUUGGAUUUGACAGCGGGUUGGAGUGGUAUGUAAGCACGCAGUGCGCCUGAUAGUGGGCACUUAAAUCUCGGCUAUCGACAAUUUAACUGGCGAAAACAAGUUUGCUCUCGCUGCCUAAUCGAAGUAUAGUAGAUUGGCUUUAUUUCGGCACAAGGUGCUGAAACGAGACAUCACCCAAGAGCUCUUUUUCCGAAGCGUCUUGAAAUGGUGGUGCAGAUAAAUCGGAAAUAGUCUGCGUUGGCCUCGCAACAAAGGCGAAACUUUUAGAGGAUAAGGCUGCGGUUGGUGGCACUGGUCUUGCCACAGCACGAAAAUUUAGUCAGUGAUAAGCGUGUAGAAAGCAUAUUAGUUCCCCGUUUGGACGAGGGUUCGAGCCCCUCCUGGUCCAC